rnacentral:rRNA from 1 species
AUGAACGCUGGCGGCGUGCCUAACACAUGCAAGUCGUGCGAGAAACCGGCUUCGGCCGGGAGUACAGCGGCGGACGGGUGAGUAACACGUGGACAACCUGCCUGGAUGUGGGGGAUAACCUGGGGAAACUCGGGCUAAUACCGCAUACGCUUCCGGGGCCUCGGCUCCGGUUCGCAAAGGUGGCCCCUCGCUUGCAAGCUACCGCGUCCAGAGGGGUCCGGCGUCCGAUUAGCUGGUUGGUGAGGUAACGGCUCACCAAGGCAACGAUCGGUAGCCGGCCUGAGAGGGC